rnacentral:rRNA from 1 species
ACCCUAAAGCCAAUCAAUUUGGCGGCCGUUGAUUCAGUGAUAAGAGGAGUUCGCCUUUUAAUCGACAGCCCACGAAUAAUUAGCUUUACCUAAUCAACAUCAUAGUUUGUAUACCGCCGUCUAGGUAAAUCUAAAAUGGUUUAUCUAUUAAGGUCAGAUUCCUUACAAGACAGGUCAUGGCGCAGCUAAUGGUAAAGAACAGGUGAUCUACAAUAGAACAUAAUUAUCUGACCUCAUAUAAAUAUUUGAGUGAGGAAAGGAUUUUAUAGUAAUUGAAGUUAAUAAUUCCUCCUGUGAAUCAUCUUAUCAGGUGUACAUAUCGCCCGUCGCUCGCGGGA